AGGCAGCAGUGGGGAAUAUUGGACAAUGGGCGCAAGCCUGAUCCAGCCAUACCGCGUGGGUGAAGAAGGCCUUCGGGUUGUAAAGCCCUUUUGUUGGGAAAGAAAUCCAGCCGGCUAAUACCUGGUUGGGAUGACGGUACCCAAAGAAUAAGCACCGGCUAACUUCGUGCCAGCAGCCGCGGUAAUACGAAGGGUGCAAGCGUUACUCGGAAUUACUGGGCGUAAAGCGUGCGUAGGUGGUCGUUUAAGUCCGUUGUGAAAGCCCUGGGCUCAACCUGGGAACUGCAGUGGAUACUGGACGACUAGAGUGUGGUAGAGGGUAGCGGAAUUCCUGGUGUAGCAGUGAAAUGCGUAGAGAUCAGGAGGAACAUCCUUGGCGAAGGCAGCUACCUGGACCAACACUGACACUGAGGCACGAAAGCGUGGGGAGCAAACAGGAUUAGAUACCCUGGUAGUCCACGCCCUAAACGAUGCGAACUGGAUGUUGGGUGCAAUUUGGCACGCAGUAUCGAAGCUAACGCGUUAAGUUCGCCGCCUGGGGAGUACGGUCGCAAGACUGAAACUCAAAUGAAUUGACGG
rnacentral:rRNA from 1 species